GUCGAGAAUCUUUCACAAUGGGGGCAACCCUGAUGGAGCGACGCCGCGUGGAGGAUAAGGUCUUCGGAUUGUAAACUCCUGUCAUGCGUGAACAAGGUUGCUUGGAUAAUACCUGAGCAAAUUGAUGGUAGCGCAAGAGGAAGAGACGGUUAACUCUGUGCCAGCAGCCGCGGUAAUACAGAGGUCUCAAGCGUUGUUCGGAAUCACUGGGCGUAAAGGGUGCGUAGGUGGCGUGGCAAGUCAGAUGUGAAAGCCCGGGGCUCAACCUCGGAACUGCAUCCGAUACUGCCAUGCUAGAGUACUGGAGGGGUGACUAGAAUUCUCGGUGUAGCAGUGAAAUGCGUAGAUAUCGAGAGGAAUACCAAAGGCGUAGGCAGGUCACUGGACAGUUACUGACACUGAGGCACGAAGGCCAGGGGAGCGAACGGGAUUAGAAACCCUGGUAGUCC
rnacentral:rRNA from 1 species